UUCAGGAAAACUCUGCUGUAUUUUAUUCUGUUUCCUCCAUUACUUACUCCUCCUCAGCGCAGUUCCUCCUCCUGAAAAGGUGGGAGGACCUUGCAACUUCACUACCCAGGCAUCAAGAAAAUGCUGAAGCAUGCCAGAAGAAUCAGGAGGACAGAAUAGAAGGAAUGCCUCUGGAACUAAACCACAGCCUCACUUAACAAAAACAACAUGUUCCAAAAAGCAACUGAUGAUAUGAGGGAAUAAGUGAGAUUUGGGUGCAGUGCUCGAACUUCGUCAUACACAAGCAAUCACUAGUUCUCUGAAAUUUGAGGUCUUCACAGGAAUCUGUAACUUCAGUCUUUAUCUCAGAAAAUUUCCUCUGAUGAAGAAUUAAUGGCACUUGAAGAUAUACAUAGGAGUGGAUAAUUGCUUAGUAUUGAAUUUCAUUUGUCAUUUUAUUACAGUAAUAUUUAGACAUCAUUAUCUGAAAGACUCAGAAGAGGCCUGAAGUCCAUAUUCAGAGCUGUCUGUAGGGAGAUGUUAUAGUUUGUAGAAGACAGAAGGCCAUCUACACAUCACUGACUACCACAUUUUAGAAUCCCGAGCUGUUACAGCACUUACUUGCUCUCCUCAAUUUGAAAAGGGUAAUGGCAAGUAAUCCUAUUUCAUUUUAUGAAAAUGAUCUCUUUUACAAUCUUCUGUGGAAUCAAUGUCAUGUCUGCCAAUAUUCCAGCAAGUGACCAUAUCAUAAUUUAAUUUCAAAGUAUACUCACAUCACAAUGCCAUUUACUGUAUAAUAACAGAGGUAUAAAAAAUGAGUCUUUGUGCCUCUCCGUAUCUGAUCUCAGACAUUAUCAUUUUAGUCAGCCAACACAUAGUGCAGAAACGUUUGAAAAUUAUAAGGACUUUUAUUUCUCUUCCUAUUAAUUGAUGUCAUUAAUUAUAAUAAUGCAACCAACUUUUUUUCCACAUUUUUCCACUGAAACCAAAAGCUGUAGCAGACUAAUAGACCAGAAGACAAAGAAAGUAUGGUGGGAAAGUCCUUCUUACCUCAAACUUCCCCCUGGUAAAAAAAAAAAUAUCCAAGAUUGUAGGAGUUUACAAAGCCAUUAUAAUGACAUGGGGGUGGAAAGCAACAGUUUGAGGUUAUACACAGAACAAUGAAGAGCAGAGUGAGUGAGUUCUGUGUACUUGAAUAUAGAUUUAAUCAUGUAAUCAGAGAUUUCAUGAAAACAGUAAGCCAAUUGCUUUCCAAAUCAGAUACAGGAUUUAUCUACUGCUGCAGUUAAGUCCUCUAUUUCUCCAAGCACAAAGAUGGACAGAUGGUUACGAGCAGACCAAACCCAAAAGUCCAUGUUGACAUUCAUGUCAUAUUAUUGUUUCUGUAUACACCAUUAAUUCUUUUCAACAUCUAUUACCAUUCCUGUUUCAAAGCAAUAAGAGAAAAAAUAAACUAGCAUCAUGAUGAACCUGA